rnacentral:rRNA from 1 species
AGCGCAACCCUUGCCAUUAGUUGCUACGAAAGGGCACUCUAAUGGGACUGCCGGUGGACAAACCGGAGGAAGGUGGGGAUGACGUCAAGUCCUCAUGGCCCUUAUAGUGGGGCUACACACGUCAUACAAUGGCCGGUACAGAGGGUAGCCAACCCGCGAGGGGGAGCCAAUCCCACAAAGCCGGUCGUAGUCCGGAUCGCAGUCUGCAACUCGACUGCGUGAAGUCGGAAUCGCUAGUAAUCGUGAAUCAGAAUGUCACGGUGAAUUACCGGUUCCCGGGCCUU